rnacentral:tRNA from 1 species
UCGGAUCUAGUUUAAUGGUAAAACAACACGUUGUGGUCGUGUAACUCCAGGUUCGAUUCUUGGGGUCCGAA